UGGGGGAUAUUGCACAAUGGGCGAAAGCCUGAUGCAGCGACGCCGCGUGGGGGAUGAAGGCCUUCGGGUUGUAAACUUCUUUUGCUCUGAACAAGGCAUGCUAAUGGGUGUGUUGAGUGUAGGGGUUGAUUAGCGCCGGCUAACUACGUGCCAGCAGCCGCGGUAAUACGGAGGGCGCGAGCGUUGUCCGGCAUUAUUGGGCGUAAAGGGCUUGUAGGUGGCUGGUUGCGUCUGUCGUGAAAGCUCAUGGCUUAACUGGGGGUUUGCGGUGGGUACGGGCUGGCUUGAGUGCAGUAGUGGAGGCUGGAAUUCCUGGUGUAGCGGUGGAAUGCGCAGAUAUCAGGAGGAAUACCGGUGGCGAAGGCGGGUCUCUGGGCUGUUACUGACACUGAGGAGCGAAAGCAUGGGGAGCGAACAGG
rnacentral:rRNA from 1 species